AAUGCUAGCCUCCAAGAACAAUACCCAGCCUUAUACAACAUUGCACGCGAUAAGAAUAAUACUAUUGCGCAAGUGCUCAGCUCAUUCCCGCCAAAUAUUUCAUUCAGACAGGAUUUGAUUGGCACCCGACUUAUGUCAUGGAAUAAUCUAUUGUCCCAUCUGGAUUCGAUUAUCCUGACACAAGGUCGUGAUGUGUUUCGCUGAAACCUUACUACAUCGGGGUCUUUCAUAGUAGACUCUAUGUAUCAUGCACUCACGCAUUCUGAGGUACCGAUGAGUAAUAACAAAAAAAUUGGAAAGCGAAGGUACCGCUUAAAGUCAAAAUAUUCGUGUGGUAUCUCCGUAGGGGAGUUGUGCUAA
rnacentral:rRNA from 1 species